AUUGAACGCUGGCGGAAUGCUUUACACAUGCAAGUCGAGCGGCAGCGCGGGGCAACCUGGCGGCGAGCGGCGAACGGGUGAGUAAUGUAUCGGAACGUAUCCUUAAGUGGGGGACAACUAGUCGAAAGACUAGCUAAUACCGCAUACGAUCGAGAGAUGAAAGUGGGGGACCGCAAGGCCUCACGCUUUUGGAGCGGCCGAUAUCCGAUUAGCUUGUUGGUGAGGUAAAGGCUUACCAAGGCUAUGAUCGGUAGCUGGUCUGAGAGGAUGAUCAGCCACACUGGGACUGAGACACGGCCCAGACUCCUACGGGAGGCAGCAGUGGGGAAUUUUGGACAAUGGGGGCAACCCUGAUCCAGCCAUUCCGCGUGAGU
rnacentral:rRNA from 1 species